rnacentral:rRNA from 1 species
UACGUAGGGCGCAAGCGUUGUCCGGAAUUAUUAGGCGUAAAGAGCUCGUAGGCGGUUUGUCGCGUCUGCUGUGAAAACCUAAGGCUCAACCUUGGGCUUGCAGUGGGUACGGGCAGACUAGAGUGCGGUAGGGGUGACUGGAAUUCCUGGUGUAGCGGUGGAAUGCGCAGAUAUCAGGAGGAACACCGAUGGCGAAGGCAGGUCACUGGGCCGCAACUGACGCUGGAG